UACGUAGGGUGCUAGCGUUGUCCGGAUUUAUUGGGCGUAAAGGGCUCGUAGGCGGCGUGUCGCGUCGGGAGUGAAAGCCCGCUGCUUAACGGCGGGUUGGCUUCCGGUACGGGCAUCGCUGGAGUGCGGCAGGGGAGACUGGAAUUCUCGGUGUAGCAGUGAAAUGCGUGGAUAUCGAGAAGAACACUUAGGGCGAAGGCAAGACUCUGGACAAAUGCUGACGCUCAUGCACGAAGGCUAGGGUAGCGAACGGG
rnacentral:rRNA from 1 species